GAGUUUGAUCCUGGCUCAGGACGAACGCUGGCGGCGCGCCUAACACAUGCAAGUCGAACGGAGCUAAGAGGAGCUUGCUUUUCUUAACUUAGUGGCGAACGGGUGAGUAACGCGUGAGUAACCUGCCCUGGAGUGGGGGACAACAGUUGGAAACGACUGCUAAUACCGCAUAAGCCCACGAUCCGGCAUCGGAUUGAGGGAAAAGGAUUUAUUCGCUUCAGGAUGGACUCGCGUCCAAUUAGCUAGUUGGUGAGGUAACGGCCCACCAAGGCGACGAUCCAUAGCCGGCCUGAGAGGGUGAACGGCCACAUUGGGACUGAGACACGGCCCAGACUCCUACGGGAGGCAGCAGUGGGGAAUAUUGCACAAUGGGGGAAACCCUGAUGCAGCGACGCCGCGUGAAGGAAGAAGUAUCUCGGUAUGUAAACUUCUAUCAGCAGGGAAGAAAAUGACGGUACCUGACUAAGAAGCCCCGGCUAACUACGUGCCAGCCGCCGCGGUAAUAC
rnacentral:rRNA from 1 species